rnacentral:tRNA from 1 species
UCCCUGUAGCGCAAUGGAUAGCGCAUUGGACUUAUAAUUCAAAGGUUGUUGGCUCGAAUCCCAUCUGGAAAG